rnacentral:lncRNA from 1 species
ACACGCGGCGCCCCAUUAAAGCGGCCGUCCCGGGCGCGCGCCUCAUUCGAGGCGACGGGCUCCGGGCCCUGAUAGAUGGGGUGCGGGGACGGAGACAAAUGACGGCCUUUGGGCUCGGAAUACCUACCUUUCUUGUAAUGCAGCCCAGCGGGUCCCAGCCUCGUUUUCCAGCCCUCACUCAAAAUGGAGUCGCUCUGGUUCGAACGCCUCUGACAAGUGUGUACCUACGUGUCAGGCGCGUCCUUCCUGCAGGCCUUUGUCUUGGUGUCACCGUGCCUGAGCUGGCCCCAACCACAGUAGCAACAGUGAUGCUGAUGCGUGACUGCUGCCUGGAGCCUGCUCACAUGACCGUGUGGAGAAAGUUCUUUCCCCGAGGACCAUCUGGAGUGGACGCCUGCACUACCCCUCUCUGAAUACACCCUCCCCACGGGGCCCUCUGGAGCAUCCUGUAGAGCCAGCCCCUACCCAGAGACCCUGAGCCUAGAGAAUGCGCUGGGUGGUGAGCCUGGGGAUGAAUGCAGAGCCCUAGGUCUCCUCUCCAGAAAGACCAGGUUUUGCCAUGUUGGCCAGGCUGGUCUUGAACUCCUGACCUCAAGCGAUCCACCUGCCUCGGCCUCCCAAAGUGCAGGGAUUACAGGUGUGAGCCACCGCACCCGGCCUCAGGCAGGUAUUUUUACCAGUUGAAUACUCUUGCACUGUGCACUCUUCACAUUCAUCAUCAGUCCCCCGGAUGGGUGUUUAAGGCAUUUCCAAAGCUCUGUUAUUAAAAACACGAUGCAAUGA